AUAUCCCUGGGGAUGAAUCAGAUUCAUUGAACUGCGAUUGUGCAACUGUGCUUUCAGGCAGAGAGUGCUCAAAGGGUAGAACGGCUCUUUUGGAAUUCUCAGAUAUAUUUGGCCAGGUUUACCUAGAGGAGAACACGUUGUUUUUAAUGAAAGGGAUUUAAAGUCACAGUGCACCUUAAGGUGAUGACUUUCUGAAUGGAUGCUCUUUCAUGAGACCCAAGUUGCGAGGUAUAAUUUACAUGCAGUGAUAUGUACAAAUCUUCAGUGAAUGGGUUGAUGAAUGUUUGCCUAUGUAUACCUACAUGUAAUCACUACUCAGAUCAAAAUAGACAACCUGUUCACGACACUGAAAAGUUUUCUAGAGCCCCUUUUCAGUCAAGACCCAUUCCUCCAGAUCAUCAGUGCAACUACUCAUAUCAUCAGUUCUCCCAAUGAUCUGGUCAGACAUGGUCUGAAAUUUAUCUUGGAUCUGCUGCAGGAGUUUCUGCACCACUGAGGUGAGUUCCUGCUCAUUCUUGGGGUCAGUCUCGGCUAUAUCCCUGGUGCCCAUCUAGGUAGUGAUUGUAAAACAUUUUUUUAACCUAUUCUGGGACCUUAAGUUCUUUGUGUAAAAUGGAAGGAGAUAUGUAAUGAGGGGGCUAUUAAUUUAUUUCAGGAACAAGUAUAGACUUGCUAGUGGGAAGAUCCAUCUUCUAAAAUUUAUAGGGUAUUGGCCAAGUUCAGGAAUUUCACAGUGCUCUCUAUGUUGGGAUUUUUGGGUUAUGUUCUUAUGUAAUCCACGUUGCAUGACCCUUCUAGUAAGUUUGAUGAGACAACGUAGCACAGCUUAAUUUGAUUUUUCUAAGUAGCCGGCAUGAGUUUUCUCUAGGUUGUUUACCAAUAGACUCUGUGUAUAUGGACAAGAUUUUUUGGUUAGGCAGACUUUACUUUUUGCAGGAGGAGCCUUUAAUCUGGGGACAUGGAAUGUCCAAAUACCAGAAUGGGGAGGACUUCACUCUGU